rnacentral:tRNA from 1 species
GAGGUGAUGGCUCAGUGGUUAAGAGCACUGACUGCUCUUCCAGAGGACCUGAGUUCAAAUCCCAGCAACCACA